CCUACAUGAAGUCGGAAUUGCUAGUAAAUCGUGGAUCAGCAUGCCACGGUGAAUACGUUCCCGGGCCUUGUACACACCGCCCGUCAAGCCAUGGAAGCCGGGGGCGCUUGAAGUGCGUUGCCGCAAGGCGCGCCCUAGAGCGAAACCGGUGACUGGGGCUAAGUCGUAACAAGGUAGC
rnacentral:rRNA from 1 species